GAUGAACGCUGGCGGCGUGCCUAACACAUGCAAGUCGAGCGAUUUACUUCGGUAAAGAGCGGCGGACGGGUGAGUAACGCGUGGGUAACCUGCCCUGUACACACGGAUAACAUACCGAAAGGUAUGCUAAUACGAGAUAAUAUACUUUUAUCGCAUGGUAGAAGUAUCAAAGCUUUUGCGGUACAGGAUGGACCCGCGUCUGAUUAGCUAGUUGGUAAGGUAACGGCUUACCAAGGCGACGAUCAGUAGCCGACCUGAGAGGGUGAUCGGCCACAUUGGAACUGAGACACGGUCCAAACUCCUACGGAGGCAGCAGUGGGGAAUAUUGCACAAUGGGCGAAAGCCUGAUGCAGCAACGCCGCGUGAGCGAUGAAGGCCUUCGGGUCGUAAAGCUCUGUCCUCAAGGAAGAUAAUGACGGUACUUGAGGAGGAAGCCCCGGCUAACUACGU
rnacentral:rRNA from 1 species